rnacentral:miRNA from 12 species
ACCUCAUAACUCAGUCACGAUAUC